UACGUAGGAGGCGAGCGUUAUCCGGAUUUACUGGGCUUAAAGGGUGUGCAGGCGGGCUGUUAAGUCGUGCAUGAAAGCCGUGCGCUCAACGCGCGGAGGCUGUGCGAGACUGGCAGUCUAGAGGGUGUGAGAGGGAGGCGGAAUUCCGGGUGUAGUGGUGAAAUGCGUAGAGAUCCGGAGGAACACCGGUGGCGAAGGCGGGUCUCUGGGCCGAUACUGACGCUGAGGAGCGAAAGCGUGGGGAGCGAACAGG
rnacentral:rRNA from 1 species